UACGGAGGGGGCAAGCGUUGUUCGGAAUUACUGGGCGUAAAGGGCGCGUAGGCGGCCGCCUAAGUCAGACGUGAAAUCCCUCGGCUCAACCGGGGAACUGCGUCUGAUACUGGGUGGCUUGAAUCCGGGAGAGGGAUGCGGAAUUCCAGGUGUAGCGGUGAAAUGCGUAGAUAUCUGGAGGAACACCGGUGGCGAAGGCGGCAUCCUGGACCGGCAUUGACGCUGAGGCGCGAAAGCCAGGGGAGCAAACGGG
rnacentral:rRNA from 1 species